UGAUGGAGGGGGAUAACUACUGGAAACGGUAGCUAAUACCGCAUAACGUCGCAAGACCAAUACUGCAGAGGGGGACCUUCGGGCCUCUUGCCAUCAGAUGUGCCCAGAUGGGAUUAGCUUGUUGGUGGGGUAACGGCUCACCAAGGCGACGAUCCCUAGCUGGUCUGAGAGGAUGACCAGCCACACUGGAACUGAGACACGGUCCAGACUCCUACGGGAGGCAGCAGUGGGGAAUAUUGCACAAUGGGCGCAAGCCUGAUGCAGCCAUGCCGCGUGUAUGAAGAAGGCCUUCGGGUUGUAAAGUACUUUCAGCGGGGAGGAAGGUGUUGUGGUUAAUAACCACAGCAAUUGACGUUACCCGCAGAAGAAGCACCGGCUAACUCCGUGCCAGCAGCCGCGGUAAUACGGAGGGUGCAAGCGUUAAUCGGAAUUACUGGGCGUAAAGCGCACGCAGGCGGUCUGUUAAGUCAGAUGUGAAAUCCCCGGGCUCAACCUGGGAACUGCAUCUGAUACUGGCAGGCUUGAGUCUCGUAGAGGGGGGUAGAAUUCCAGGUGUAGCGGUGAAAUGCGUAGAGAUCUGGAGGAAUACCGGUGGCGAAGGCGGCCCCCUGGACGAAGACUGACGCUCAGGUGCGAAAGCCUAGCA
rnacentral:rRNA from 1 species